UGCAAGUCGAACGAGAAAGGCUGUGCUUGCACAGCCGAGUAGAGUGGCGCACGGGUGAGUAGAAUGUAGAUAAUCUACCUUUAAAAACAGGGAUAACUAUUCGAAAGGGUAGCUAAUACCAGAUGAAGUCGGGUAUGCUUAGGUAUAUUUGAUGAAAGAGUGCUUUUUAGGAGGCAUUUGUUUAGAGAUGAGUCUGCAAACCAUUAGCUAGUUGGUGGGGUAAAAGCUUACCAAGGCGAUGAUGGUUAGCUGGUCUGAGAGGAUGAUCAGCCACACUGGAACUGACACACGGUCCAGACUCCUACGGGAGGCAGCAGUGAGGGAUUUUGCGCAAUGGGCGGAAGCCUGACGCAGCAACGCCGCGUGAGUGAAGAAGGCCUUUGGGUUGUAAAGCUCUGUCGACAGGGAAGAAGUUAAUGUAAUUUAAUAGAUUAUGUUAUUGACGGUACCUGAGAAGGAAGCAUCGGCUAACUCCGUGCCAGCAGCCGCGGUAAU
rnacentral:rRNA from 1 species